GGUUCCAUGGUCUAGUGGUCAGGACAUUGGACUCUGAAUCCAGUAACCCGAGUUCAAACCUCGGUGGGGUGGAACCU